UACGUAGGGGGCAAGCGUUGUCCGGAAUCAUUGGGCGUAAAGAGCGUGUAGGCGGUCCGGUAAGUCGGUUGUGAAAGCCCAGGGCUCAACCCUGGGAUGCCGACCGAUACUGUCGGACUAGAGUUCGGAAGAGGCGAGUGGAAUUCCCGGUGUAGCGGUGAAAUGCGCAGAUAUCAGGAGGAACACCGGUGGCGAAGGCGGCGCUCUGGGCCGGAACUGACGCUGAGGAGCGAAAGCGUGGGGAGCAAACAGG
rnacentral:rRNA from 1 species